AUUGAACGCUGGCGGCAGGCCUAACACAUGCAAGUCGAGCGGAUGAAGGGAGCUUGCUCCUGGAUUCAGCGGCGGACGGGUGAGUAAUGCCUAGGAAUCUGCCUGGUAGUGGGGGAUAACGUCCGGAAACGGGCGCUAAUACCGCAUACGUCCUGAGGGAGAAAGUGGGGGUUCUUAGGACCUCACGCUAUCAGAUGAGACUAGGUCGGAUUAGCUAGUUGGUGGGGUAAAGGCCUACCAAGGCGACGAUCCGUAACUGGUCUGAGAGGAUGAUCAGUCACACUGGAACUGAGACACGGUCCAGACUCCUACGGGAGGCAGCAGUGGGGAAUAUUGGACAAUGGGCGAAAGCCUGAUCCAGCCAUGCCGCGUGUGUGAAGAAGGUCUUCGGAUUGUAAAGCACUUUAAGUUGGGAGGAAGGGCAGUAAGUUAAUACCUUGCUGUUUUGACGUUACCAACAGAAUAAGCACCGGCUAACUUCGUG
rnacentral:rRNA from 1 species